rnacentral:rRNA from 1 species
GACGAACGCUGGCGGCGCGCCUAACACAUGCAAGUCGAACGGAGCUGAGAGAAGCUUGCUUUUCUUAGCUUAGUGGCGAACGGGUGAGUAACGCGUGAGUAACCUGCCCUGGAGUGGGGGACAACAGUGGGAAACGACUGCUAAUACCGCAUAAGCCCACGAUCCGGCAUGGGAAUGAGGGAAAAGGAUUUAUUCGCUUCAGGAUGGACUCGCGUCCAAUUAGCUAGUUGGUGAGGUAACGGCCCACCAAGGCGACGAUUGGUAGCCGGACUGAGAGGUUGAACGGCCACAUUGGGACUGAGACACGGCCCAGACUCCUACGGGAAGCAGCAGUGGGGGAUAUUGCACAAUGGGGGAAACCCUGAUGCAGCGACGCCGCGUGGAGGAAGAAGGUUUUCGGAUUGUAAACUCCUGUCGUUAGGGACGAUAAUGACGGUACCUAACAAGAAAGCACCGGCUAACUACGUG